UGGCGGACGGGUGAGUAACGCGUGAGAAUCUGGCUUCAGGUUCGGGACAACAGCGGGAAACUGCUGCUAAUACCGGAUGUGCCGAAAGGUGAAAGAUUAAUUGCCUGAAGAUGAGCUCGCGUCUGAUUAGCUAGUUGGUGGGGUAAGAGCCCACCAAGGCGACGAUCAGUAACUGGUCUGAGAGGAUGACCAGUCACACUGGGACUGAGACACGGCCCAGACUCCUACGGGAGGCAGCAGUGGGGAAUUUUCCGCAAUGGGCGAAAGCCUGACGGAGCAAUACCGCGUGAGGGAGGAAGGCUCUUGGGUUGUAAACCUCUUUUCUCAGGGAAGAAAAAAAUGACGGUACCUGAGGAAUAAGCAUCGGCUAACUCCGUGCCAGCAGCCGCGGUAAUACGGAGGAUGCAAGCGUUAUCCGGAAUUAUUGGGCGUAAAGCGUCCGCAGGUGGCAGUAUCAAGUCUGCUGUCAAAGGUCAGGGCUCAACCCUGAACAGGCAGUGGAAACUGAACAGCUAGAGUGCGGUGGGGGCAGAGGGAAUUCCCAGUGUAGCGGUGAAAUGCGUAGAGAUUGGGAAGAACACCGGUGGCGAAAGCGCUCUGCUAGGCCGAAACUGACACUCAUGGACGAAAGCUAGGGGAGCGAAUGGGAUUAGAUACCCCAGUAGUCCUAGCCGUAAACGAUGGAUACUAGGCGUUGUGAGUAUCGACCCUCACAGUGUCGUAGCUAACGCGUUAAGUAUCCCGCCUGGG
rnacentral:rRNA from 1 species